rnacentral:misc_RNA from 1 species
AAGUCGUAACAAGGUAACCGUAGGUGAACCUGCGGUUGGAUCAUUAACAAAUUAUAGGAUCGUCUGGCUCGCCAGCGACUCUUGACAUUUUGUGAAUAGUAACUGUCUCUGGCCAGUCUAGUUUUAGGCUGGCAUUGAACCUAGUAAAAUCAUUAGCCUUUAAAUAAAAAGUUUUAAUUAAAAACAACUUUUGGCAACGGAUCUCUAGGCUCUC